rnacentral:rRNA from 1 species
UACGUAGGGGGCAAGCGUUGUCCGGAUUUAUUGGGCGUAAAGAGCGUGUAGGCGGCUACAGGUCAGCUGUGAAAACUCGAGGCUCAACCUCGAGACGUCGGUUGAAACCGUAUGGCUAGAGUCCGGAAGAGGAGAGUGGAAUUCCCGGUGUAGCGGUGAAAUGCGUUGAUAUCGAUAGGAACUCCGGUGGCGAAGGCGGCAUACUGGACCACAUCUGACGCUGAGGCGCGAAAGCCAGGG